GACGAACGCUGGCGGCGUGCUUAACACAUGCAAGUCGAACGCUGAAGCUCAGCUUUUGUUGGGCGGAUGAGUGGCGAACGGGUGAGUAACACGUGAGUAACCUGCCCCUUUCUUUGGGAUAACGCCCGGAAACGGGUGCUAAUACUGGAUAUUCACUGUUGUUCGCAUGGGGGCUGGUGGGAAGGGCUUUUUUGGUGGGGGAUGUGCUCGCGGCCUAUCAGCUUGAUGGUGGGGUGAUGGUCUAACCAGGCUUUGGCGGGUAGCCGGCGUGAGAGGGUGAGCGGGAACAGAGAGACUGAGAUACGGCCCAGGGUACGAAGGGGGGCAGAAGUGGGGAAAAAUGCACAAUGGGUGAAAGAGUGAUGCCGCGACGGUGCGUGAGGGAUGGAGACCUUAGGGUUGUGAAACUCUUUAGGUAAUGGUGAAGCCGCAACAAUGGUUGUGGUGAGGGUAGUGGGUAAAGAAGCGCCGGCUAACUACGUG
rnacentral:rRNA from 1 species